rnacentral:tRNA from 1 species
GGGGUCGUAGCUCAGUGGUCAGAGCAGCGGACUCAUAAUCCGUCGGUCGGUGGUUCGAUCCCACCCGGCCCCA